GACGAACGCUGGCGGCGUGCCUAAUACAUGCAAGUAGAACGCUGAAGGAGGAGCUUGCUUCUCUGGAUGAGUUGCGAACGGGUGAGUAACGCGUAGGUAACCUGCCUGGUAGCGGGGGAUAACUAUUGGAAACGAUAGCUAAUACCGCAUAAUAGUAGAUGUUGCAUGACAUUUGCUUAAAAGGUGCAAUUGCAUCACUACCAGAUGGACCUGCGUUGUAUUAGCUAGUUGGUGGGGUAACGGCUCACCAAGGCGACGAUACAUAGCCGACCUGAGAGGGUGAUCGGCCACACUGGGACUGGGACACGGCCCAGACUCCUACGGGAGGCAGCAGUAGGGAAUCUUCGGCAAUGGACGGAAGUCUGACCGAGCAACGCCGCGUGAGUGAAGAAGGUUUUCGGAUCGUAAAGCUCUGUUGUAAGAGAAGAACGAGUGUGAGAGUGGAAAGUUCGCACUGUGACGGUAUCUGACCAGAAAGGGACGGCUAACUACGUG
rnacentral:rRNA from 1 species